rnacentral:siRNA from 1 species
ACACUUAUUUACAAUGGCAUGCCA